UACAGAGGUCCCAAGCGUUGUUCGGAUUCACUGGGCGUAAAGGGUGCGUAGGUGGUUGGGUAAGUCUGAUGUGAAAUCUCCGGGCUUAACCCGGAAAUGGCAUUGGAUACUAUUCAGCUAGAGGGUUUGAGGGGGACUGGAAUACUUGGUGUAGCAGUGAAAUGCGUAGAUAUCAAGUGGAACACCAGUGGCGAAGGCGAGUCCCUGGACCAACACUGACACUGAUGAGCGAAAGCCAGGGGAGCAAACGGG
rnacentral:rRNA from 1 species